UUGUUUAGAGAGAUGGAAACUUAUCAGAAGGACUUCUUCUCAGACGUGUGCGGUCAAUGUGUCCAAGAAACAAGAUUUAAGGAAAGCCAGUUUCUUGAUGCCAGAAGAGAGGAGAUGAUCAGAAUAGAGGAUGGAGCCAAUACUCGCUGAAACAUAAUAAUACAGCUUACAGUUGGCCAAGCCCUGAGGUAAUAUAUGCUUGGGCGUAUGACUCUAUACUUUGAGAAACUGAAUAUAUGUAGAAUCAUUUGAGGUAAAUAGCUCUGUAUAUCUUGAAUCUUCUCGACUCUCACAUUACUUAGGUACAUGUAUUUUUACCUGUACAAUGAAUAGAACCAUAAAGUAUAGAGAUCUGAUUGCUUUUUUUUU